rnacentral:rRNA from 1 species
UACGGGGGGGGCAAGCGUUGUUCGGAAUUACUGGGCGUAAAGGGCUCGUAGGUGGCCAACUAAGUCAGACGUGAAAUCCCUCAGCUUAACUGGGGAACUGCGUCUGAUACUGGAUGGCUUGAGUUUGGGAGAGGGAUGCGGAAUUCCAGGUGUAGCGGUGAAAUGCGUAGAUACCUGGAGGAACACCGGUGGCGAAGGCGGCGACCUGGGUCGAUACUGACGCUGAGGUGCGAAAGCGUGGGGAGCAAACAGG